GGAUAGCUCAGUUGGUAGAGCAUGAGGCUUUUCAUCUCAGGGUCGUGAGUUCGAGCCCCACGUUGUGCA